rnacentral:rRNA from 1 species
GCAAGUCGAGGGGUAACAUUGGAGCUUGCUUCAGAUGACGACCGGCGCACGGGUGCGUAACGCGUAUACAAUCUACCUUUUGCUGAGGGAUAGCCUUUGGAAACGAAGAUUAAUACCUCAUAGUAUGUUUGAAUGGCAUCAUUUAAAUAUUAAAGGUUACGGCAAAAGAUGAGUAUGCGUUCUAUUAGCUAGAUGGUGUGGUAACGGCACACCAUGGCGACGAUAGGUAGGGGCCCUGAGAGGGGGAUC